GGGGUCGUAGCUCAGUUGGAAGAGCACCACAAUGGCAUUGUGGGGGUCGUCGGUUCGAUUCCGAUCGGCUCCACCA
rnacentral:tRNA from 1 species